UAGAUCUUGGCUUAACUAGUAAUCCGCCAUAUUACUUUUUCCCAAAAUAGCGGCCACGCAUAAAACCUAUUUUAAUCAAUAGCUGGAUUAAUCAAUAACUGGUUU